UGACCAGCGGAGGGAUCAUU
rnacentral:rRNA from 1 species